UCCAACUCUAACAGUCCACCCGUACAUAUGUUUCCGUGCUUGACAGCGAAGCUCAAUCACGUUACAAUGAAAGGGUAGCCGGUUAUUGAAGUUGGGUCUU
rnacentral:pre_miRNA from 15 species